rnacentral:rRNA from 1 species
UUAGCGNCGGACGGGUGAGUAANCACGUGGGUAAACCUACCUAUAANACUGGGAUAGCUGUCGGGAAACCGGAGCUAUNNCCGGAUAACAUUUGGAACCGCAUGGUUCUAAAGUGAAAGAUGGUUUUGCUAUCACUUAUAGAUGGACCCGCGCCGUAUUAGCUAGUUGGUAAGGUAACGGCUUACCAAGGCAACGAUACGUAGCCGACCUGAGAGGGUGAUCGGCCACACNNCAACUGAGACACGGUCCAGACUCCUACGGGAGGCAGCAGUAGGGAAUCUUCCGCAAUGGGCGAAAGCCUGACGGAGCAACGCCGCGUGAGUGAUGAAGGGUUUCGGCUCGUAAAACUCUGUUAUUAGGGAAGAACAAAUGUGUAAGUAACUGUGCACAUGCUUGACGGUACCUAANCAGAAAGACC